rnacentral:rRNA from 1 species
AACGAACGCUGGCGGCAUGCCUAACACAUGCCAGUCGAACGAGACCUUCGGGUCUAGUGGCGCACGGGUGCGUAACGCGUGGGAACCUGCCCUUAGGUUCGGAAUAACUCCCCGAAAGGGGUGCUAAUACCGGAUAAUGUCUUCGGACCAAAGAUUUAUCGCCUUUGGAUGGGCCCGCGUUGGAUUAGCUAGUUGGUAGGGUAAAAGCCUACCAAGGCGACGAUCCAUAGCUGGUCUGAGAGGAUGAUCAGCCACACUGGGACUGAGACACGGCCCAGACUCCUACGGGAGGCAGCAGUGGGGAAUAUUGGACAAUGGGCGAAAGCCUGAUCCAGCAAUGCCGCGUGAGUGAUGAAGGCCUUAGGGUUGUAAAGCUCUUUUACCCGGGAUGACAAUGACAGUACCGGGAGAAUAAGCGCCGGCUAACUCCGUG